rnacentral:tRNA from 1 species
GCGGAGCGAUCUUAGGAGGGCAGGCACGCAAGGUUUAGGACCUUGUGCUCGCAAGAGCUUGGGGGUUCGAGUCCCUUCAUCCGCA